AACGAACGCUGGCGGCAUGCCUCAUACAUGCAAGUCGAACGAGGUCUUCGGACCUAGUGGCGCACGGGUGAGUAACAUGUGGGAAUCUACCUGAAGGUUCGGAAUAACUGCGGGAAACUGUAGCUAAUACCGGAUGUGUCUGAAAAGAGAAAGAUUUAUCGCCUUCAGAUGAGCCCGCACUAGAUUAGCUAGUUGGUGAGGUAAUUGCUCCACCAAGGCUACGAUCUAUAGCUGAUUUGAGAGGAUGAUCAGCCACACUGGGACUGAGACACGGCCCAGACUCCUACGGGAGGCAGCAGUAGGGAAUAUUGGACAAUGGGGGAAACCCUGAUCCAGCAAUGCCGCGUGAGUGAAGAAGGCCUUCGGGUUGUAAAGCUCUUUCAUCAAUGAUGAUAAUGACAUUAGUUGAAGAAGAAGCCCCGGCUAACUUCGUGCCAGCAGCCGCGGUAAUACGAAGGGGGCUAGCGUUGUUCGGAAUCACUGGGCGUAAAGCGUAUGUAGGCGGAUCAAAAAGUUAGAUGUGAAAUCCCUGGGCUCAACCCAGGAACUGCAUUUAAAACUAGUGAUCUAGAAUUUGGUAGGGGCCAGUAGAAUUUCCAGUGUAGAGGUGAAAUUCGUAGAUAUUGGAAAGAAUACCAGUGGCGAAGGCGACUGGCUGGGCCAUUUUUGACGCUGAGAUACGAAAGCGUGGGUAGCAAACAGGAUUAGAUACCCUGGUAGUCCACGCAGUAAACGAUGAGUGCUAGUCGCUGGGACAAUAGUUUCAGUGUCGAAGCUAACGCAUUAAGCACUCCGCCUGGGAAGUACGGUCGCAAGAUUAAAACUCAAAUAAAUUGACGGGGGCCCGCACAAGCGGUGGAGCAUGUGGUUUAAUUCGAAGCAACGCGAAGAACCUUACCAGACCUUGACAUGGUAUGUUUGAAUUACAGAAUCGUAAUUCUUCAGUUCGGCUGGCAUACACACAGGUGCUGCAUGGCUGUCGUCAGCUCGUGUCGUGAGAUGUUGGGUUAAGUCCCGCAACGAGCGCAACCCUCAUUUUUAGUUGCCAUCAGGUCAAGCUGGGCACUCUAAAAAAACUGCCGGUGAUAAGCUGGAGGAAGGCGGGGAUGACGUCAAGUCCUCAUGGCCCUUACGGCCUGGGCUACACACGUGCUACAAUGGUGGUGACAGUGGGCAGCGAUACUGCAAAGUAAAGCUAAUCCCAAAAAACCAUCUCAGUUCGGAUUGGACUCUGCAACUCGAGUCCAUGAAGUUGGAAUCGCUAGUAAUCGUAGAUCAGCGUGCUACGGUGAAUACGUUCUCGGGCCU
rnacentral:rRNA from 1 species